AGAAGAGUGCCAUACAACAGCCUGAAAGUCUUUUAGAUUAUCAUGAAAUAUCCGAGCCGGAUGCCCUUCCAGCCGCCAUCCCUCGUCAUCUACAAUUUAAUCCCCUUUCGCGCCUGACAACUCGAUUGGAAUAUUUAAUAGGCCUACUUUUUACCAUGCAAAAUACGCUAAAGAGAAAACUUCUGAAAUCUGAUAUCUAUUUUUUUUUUACAGCUGGAUGCCCUUCAAGCCGCCAUCCCUCGUCCUCUACAAUUUAAUCCCCUUUCGCGCCUGACAACUCAAUUGGAAUAUUUAAUAGGCCUACUUCUUACCAAGCAAAAUACGCUCCAGGUUGACAGACAUGUUGGGUUCUCCCUGUAACCACUCGCUCGGGAGGACCGGGCGACCGCUAAACCAGAUGCCGUUCCUCGCGCCCAUCCAGUAGUGGCUGUCAUCUGGAGGAAGAGGAACAUUAUAUAGGCAUUAUACUGUGUCAUUACCACGUGGCCUCGCCAUAUACCAUGUGGCCUCGCAAAGGGCCGCACCCCAGCGCACCCAAGCUGCCCACAUGGCACAAGCCAGCCGGCGGCCCCAGAGGGCGCGCCCCACGUCA